ACACUCUUUCUGAUAUGCCUGAUUCCUUGAUACUAUUUUCAUGGGGUUCCUAGCAAAGGCAAAUGACAUUAACUCAUACAAAUAAGAUAUGCUAAUUAGAUGGAAAAUAGAAAAAUGGCCAACUUCUACAGCUUUACUUUUAUAUUGUGAAGGUACAUCUGAUACAUAUUACAGCUAAUUUACACUGCCGCUUGUGCUUAAAUUUGCUCUGCUGCUGCUCAAACUGUGUGCUUGCACUCCAGUUUGAGCCCUUCUCCUCGCGUCCAGGCUGCUUCUGUGCAAGUGUGUUGAAAGAAUCACUAGCACCAUUAAAAUAAAAAAAACUUGACUUUGGCCAUACAGGAGUAUAUUUUGUAAUAAACGACCGAGACAACAAAAUUGUUCAGUCUUGCUUGUUUAUCUAUUCUUAUUCUGUAAACUGAUUAUGUGAUUAUGCACUGUAUAUUAUCCUCUAACACUGUUGCACAUAAACCAGAAAAUAAGCAUUUAAAUCCCAAACUGUGCCACACCAGACUGGAGUCCUCACUCAUCAAGACAGACGAACCAUGAGGAAUUCCCUGGCAGAAGAAUCUAACGUCCUUACUGUGUUACUCAGUGUACCAGUGCUGUAGAUUUAUCCAAGUGAAUAAUGUAAUAUAGACGGUGUCGCUGUAUCUCUGUCAUACAUGGGAGAUCUGGGUCACUACCCCCAAGUGUUUCCCACUGCUUUCAUUAAACAUUAACUGUGUCUAAGUAUA